rnacentral:ncRNA from 2 species
UACCAUGCACCCCUAGCUGGUGUGAGAAUCAAAUGGAUAUCUCACUGAAAAGGGAAUCUGGUGAGAAUCCAGAACUGACGCGCAGCGGUAAAAGAGAACGACCCCUCAUGAAAGACACUGCUUGAAGUAAGCGGGAAGUCGAGGAAGUAGGUGGAACCAAUAUGGUUUCGUGCUCUUAAGUCCGAAUACCUGCCAGCAGCCAACUCGAUGC